AGUAGCCAAGCCCGGAAGGGAUAAACGCUGAAGGCAUCUAAGCGUGAAGCCCCCCUUAAGAUGAGAUAUCCCAUUCGUUAAGAAGUAAACCCCCUUGAAGACGACGAGGUAGAUAGGGCAGAGGUGGAAGUGCAGCAAUGCAUGGAGCUGACUGUUACUAAUCGGGUGAGGGCUUGACCAAGAA
rnacentral:rRNA from 1 species